UCAUUUUCAGCUUCUAUCAACUUCCAGCGCUCCUGAUUCAACUCUGCCUCAAAUGAUGUAGCCAUCUCCUUCAUUUGAUGCCCUGCUUCUUGUACUUGGACUUGCGCUUCUCUUAGUCUUUUUAGGGCUUCCCUUUUAUCUCUCCUCGCUUCUUCAUAGAGUUGUUUCCACUGCCUGCCUUCUUCUAAAGCCACAUUCUUC
rnacentral:lncRNA from 1 species